rnacentral:rRNA from 1 species
UACAGGGGGUGCAAACGUUGCUCGGAAUCAUUGGGCGUAAAGCGCACGUAGGCGGUUCGUUAUGUCGGAUGUGAAAGCCCUUGGCUUAACCGAGGAAGUGCAUCCGAAACUGGCGAGCUAGAGUACGAAAGAGGAUCGCCGGAAUUCCCGGUGUAGAGGUGAAAUUCGUGAGAUAGUCGGGAGGAACACCGGUGGCGAAGGCGGCGAUCUGGGUCGAUACUGACGCUGAGGCGCGAAAGCGUGGGGAGCAAACAGGAUUAGAAACCCGGAG